GACGUAGGUGGCGAACGUUAUCCGGAAUUAUUGGGCGUAAAGGGUGCGUAGAUGGUGUGGUAAGUUAUCAGUGGUAAAUCGAGGCUCAACCUCGUGGAAGCUGGUAAUACUAUUAUACUAGAGUGCAGGAGAGGUUAACGGAACUCCAUGUGGAGCGGUAAAAUGCGUAGAUAUAUGGAAGAACAUCAAUAACGGCGAAGGCAGUUAACUAUUCUGUUACUGACAUUGAGGCACGAAAGCGUGGGGAGCAAAACGG
rnacentral:rRNA from 1 species